UGACCCAUUAUCACCAUAUUUGUUCUUGUUAUGUGCAGAGGUAUUAAGUCAGAUGUUGAGUAAGGCCGAGAGUCUACAAAAGUUUCAAGAGCAACUCCUGCAGAUUGUAUACAGAUUGCUUCUAUUCUAUACGAAUAUGAAAGGCUAUCCGGACAAAAGGAGGAGGAGGUAAAUACUUGGGAUUACCGGAGCAGUUUGGUCGCAGAAAGAAGGAA